AGAGUUUGAUCCUGGCUCAGAUUGAACGCUGGCGGUAGGCUUAACACAUGCAAGUCGUGCGAGAAAGUAUCUUCGGAUAUGAGUAGAGCGGCGGACGGGUGAGUAACGCGUAGGAAUCUACCUAGUAGAAGGGGAUAGCCCGGGGAAACCCGGAUUAAUACCGUAUACCUCCUUCGGGAGAAAGAAGGCCUCUCUUUGAAGCUUUCGCUAUUAGAUGAGCCUGCGUAAGAUUAGCUUGUUGGUGAGGUAAAGGCUCACCAAGGCGACGAUCUUUAGCUGGUCUGAGAGGACGAUCAGCCACAUUGGGACUGAGACACGGCCCAGACUCCUACGGGAGGCAGCAGUGGGGAAUAUUGGACAAUGGGCGCAAGCCUGAUCCAGCCAUACCGCGUGUGUGAAGAAGGCCUUCGGGUUGUAAAGCACUUUAAGCAGGGAGAAAAAGUUAUAAGUUAAUACCUUAUAACCUUGAUGUUACCUGCAGAAUAAGCACCGGCUAAUUCCGUGCCAGCAGCCGCGGUAAUACGGAAGGUGCAAGCGUUAAUCGGAAUUACUGGGCGUAAAGCGCGCGUAGGUGGUUUGUUAAGUUGGAUGUGAAAGCCCUGGGCUCAACCUAGGAACUGCAUCCAAAACUAACUCACUAGAGUACGAUAGAGGGAGGUAGAAUUCAUAGUGUAGCGGUGGAAUGCGUAGAUAUUAUGAAGAAUACCAGUGGCGAAGGCGGC
rnacentral:rRNA from 1 species